rnacentral:rRNA from 1 species
AGUGGCAGACGGGUGAGUAAUGUAUAGGAAUCUACCUAGUAGUACGGAAUAAUUGUUGGAAACGGCAACUAAUACCGUAUACGCCCUACGGGGGAAAGAUUUAUCGCUAUUAGAUGAGCCUAUAUUAGAUUAGCUAGUUGGUAAGGUAAUGGCUUACCAAGGCAAUGAUCUAUAGCUGAUCUGAGAGGAUGAUCAGCCACACUGGAACUGAGAUACGGUCCAGACUCCUACGGGAGGCAGCAGUGGGGAAUAUUGGACAAUGGGCGAAAGCCUGAUCCAGCCAUGCCGCAUGAGUGAAGAAGGCCUUUGGGUUGUAAAGCCCUUUCGGUGAGGAAGAUAAUGACGGUACUCACAGAAGAAGUCCUGGCUAACUCCGUGCCAGCAGCCGCGGUAAUACGGAGAGGGCUAGCGUUAUUCGGAAUUAUUGGGCGUAAAGAGCGCGUAGGCUGGUUAGUAAGUUAAAAGUGAAAUCCCAAAGCUCAACUUUGGAAUUGCUUUUAAAACUGCUAACCUAGAGAUUGAAAGAGGAUAGAGGAAUUCCUAGUGUAGAGGUGAAAUUCGUAAAUAUUANGAGGAACACCAGUGGCG